CUGGCUCAGGAUGAACGCUAGCGACAGGCCUAACACAUGCAAGUCGAGGGGCAGCGCGGGAGAAGCUUGCUUUCCUGGCGGCGACCGGCGCACGGGUGCGUAACAGGUGUGCAAUCUGUCCAUAGUCGGGGGAUAGCCCAGCGAAAGCUGAAUUAAUACUCCAUGUGAAUCGAAGCCGCAUGACUUUGAUUUGAAACGCAAGGACUAUGGGUGAGCACGCUUCUGAUUAGGUAGUUGGUGGGGUAACGGCCCACCAAGCCGACGAUCAGUAGGGUUCUGAGAGGAAGGUCCCCCACAUUGGAACUGAGACACGGUCCAAACUCCUACGGGAGGCAGCAGUGAGGAAUAUUGGUCAAUGGGCGAGAGCCUGAACCAGCCAAGUCGCGUGAAGGAUGAAGGUUCUAUGGAUUGUAAACUUCUUUUGUCCGAGGGUAAAAAAGGCCACGUGUGGCUUCUUGCAAGUAUCGGACGAAUAAGCAUCGGCUAACUCCGUGCCAGCAGCCGC
rnacentral:rRNA from 1 species